AAAGGGUAAUCUUUAUAAACAAAAAAUCGCUUCUAAAGAUCACUUUUGAUAGUCAAAGAUGAAUUUCAGCAUGCAGACGUAAACAAAUAGAUUGGGCCAUGGUGGUAAGAUUGGGGAAAAAACCACUUCUAGAGCAGUGGUUCCCAACCUGUGGGCCCCAGCCCACUGGUGGGCCAUGAGACCUAAACUAGGGUCCACGAGACAUGUGGGGAAAAUCAGCUCUGGAUAAUUAAAUAUGGUUUUCUGUGAGCGAGCAGAUGAUGACCACUGGAUGACAUGUGUUCUGUAUCAGAAACUAGAGCUGAUGUAGUCUAUCCAAUGCAAUUUUCUGAAUUGGCACCCCAAAUAACCAAAGUUAAAUAACCAAUUUAAAGUUUACCAAAAACUGAUUCGUAACCCUUUUGGUACUAAUGUUGGAGGGUGGUCUCUGGUCAAAAUGAUCCCUGGUCAAGUGGUCUCUAGUAAAAAAAAAAAAAAAAAAAGGUUGGAAACCACUGUUCUAGAGUCAGUUUCCUCCAUGUCUUGGAAUAUGAGAAAAUUUAGAGAAUGAAGAACUGAAAACCAGGGAUUCCUGUUCAAGACAAUUACGCAUAGGUCCUCUCUUGAUUCAUCAAGGUUUCCAAUAAGCAUUGUAUUUUCCAUACGAUUCCCUUCAUUUCUCCUCUCUGCAUAUAAUCAUUCUUCUCCAGUCCCAUUAUGUGGGAAAUCCAGAUGUUCUUCUCCAACUCAGAAAAGACUUUUGAAGGGAGCUAAAUUUUCCUCUGCAAAUCCUUUCUAUCUGUGACUCUGAAUCACUGAUGACAUUUUUGCAUUAUAAUAAAGCUGGGAAUUGUCAGAAUAAGCAAAUGUGAACUUAUUUUCUUCACGAAUACAUAUCUUUGUUCUGUUUAUUAGAUUCCACCCUGUUCCCGUUGUGUUGAGAAUUGUCGUCCAGGAUACAGCAAGAUUGUUCAACCGGAGAAAUUAGUCUGUUGCUAUGACUGUGUUCAAUGUACUCAGGGAAGGAUUUCGGCCAAUGUUGAUGCAAGUGAAUGCGUCAAGUGCCAAGAGGAUCACUACCCAAAUAGGAAACAAGACCAAUGCCUUCCUAAGAGAACCACUUCUUUAUAUUAUACAGAACCUCUGGGAGCAAUUUUGGCUUCCUGCGCCCUUGUUUUUU
rnacentral:lncRNA from 1 species